rnacentral:rRNA from 1 species
GUUGGCUUAGAAGCAGCCACUCAUUUAAAGAGUGCGUAAUAGCUCACUAGUCGAGAGAUCCUGCGCCGAAAAUGUACCGGGGCUAAACUUACCACCGAAGCUACGGAUUUGCAAGUAAUUGCAAGUGGUAGGGGAGCGUCGUAAUCGGGCUGAAGUCGUACCGGAAGGAGCGGUGGACUGAUUACGAGUGAGAAUGUUGGCAUUAGUAGCGAGAUGUAGGUGAGAAUCCUACAGGCCGAAUAUCUAAGGUUUCCUCAGGAAGGCUCGUCCGCUGAGGGUUAGUCGGGACCUAAGCCGAGGCCGAAAGGCGUAGGCGAUGGACAAUCGGUUGAUAUUCCGAUACCACUACCAUCGUUAUUAUCGAGGGUGUGACGGAGAAGGAUAGUGUGUGCUAGCGAUUGGAAAUGCUAGUCUAAGCGUUUAGGGAGUUACGGUAGGCAAAUCCGCUGUAACAAUUCUGAGGCGUGAUGGGGAAGGUCAUUAAGACCGAAGUACAUGAUUCCAUGCUUCCAAGAAAAGCAUCUAGAGAGAGAAGUAGUGCCCGUACCGCAAACCGACACAGGUAGAUGAGGAGAGAAUCCUAAGGCCGGCGGAAGAAUUGCAGUUAAGGAACUAGGCAAAUUGACCCCGUAAGUUCGCGAGAAGGGGUGCCUGCGAGAGCAGGCCGCAGAGAAUAGGCCCAAGCAACUGUUUAGCAAAAACACAGGUCUCUGCUAAAGCGUAAGCUGAUGUAUAGGGGCUGACGCCUGCCCGGUGCUGGAAGGUUAAGGGGAACACUUAGCGCAAGCGAAGGUGUGAACUUAAGCCCCAGUAAACGGCGGCCGUAACUAUAACGGUCCUAAGGUAGCGAAAUUCCUUGUCAGGUAAGUUCUGACCCGCACGAAUGGCGUAAUGAUUUGGGCACUGUCUCAACAGCCCGCCCGGCGAAAUUGUAGUACUGGUGAAGAUGCCAGUUACCCGCAACUAGACGGAAAGACCCCAUGGAGCUUUACUGCAGCUUAAUACUGAAAUUCGGUAGUACAUGUACAGGAUAGGUGGGAGACUGAGAAAUACAGGCGUCAGCUUGUAUGGAGUCGCUGUUGGGAUACCACUCUUGUACUGCUGGGUUUCUAACCUGCGGCCGUGAAUCCGGUCGGGGGACACUGUUAGGCGGGCAGUUUGACUGGGGCGGUCGCCUCCCAAAAGGUAACGGAGGCGCUCAAAGGUUCGUUCAGCACGGACGGAAAUCGUGCAAUGAGUGUAAACGCAUAAACGAGCCUAACUGCGACACCGACGGGUGGAGCAGUAACGAAAGUUGGAGUUAGUGAUCCGGUGGUAUGUGAGUGGAAAUGCCA